rnacentral:rRNA from 1 species
GACGAACGCUGGCGGCGUGCUUAACACAUGCAAGUCGAACGGUAAGGCUCCAGCUUGCUGGGGUACACGAGUGGCGAACGGGUGAGUAACACGUGGGUGACCUGCCCUGCACUUCGGGAUAAGCCUGGGAAACUGGGUCUAAUACCGGAUAGGACCGCACCGUGAGGGUGUGGUGGAAAGUUUUUUCGGUGUGGGAUGGGCCCGCGGCCUAUCAGCUUGUUGGUGGGGUAAUGGCCUACCAAGGCGGCGACGGGUAGCCGGCCUGAGAGGGUGGACGGCCACAUUGGGACUGAGACACGGCCCAGACUCCUACGGGAGGCAGCAGUGGGGAAUAUUGCACAAUGGGCGGAAGCCUGAUGCAGCGACGCCGCGUGGGGGAUGACGGCCUUCGGGUUGUAAACUCCUUUCACCAUCGACGAAGGGUUUCUGACGGUAGAUGGAGAAGAAGCACCGGCUAACUACGUGCCAGCAGCCGCGGUAAUACGUAGGGUGCGAGCGUUGUCCGGAAUUACUGGGCGUAAAGAGCUCGUAGGUGGUUUGUCGCGUCGUCUGUGAAAUUCCGGGGCUUAACUCCGGGCGUGCAGGCGAUACGGGCAUAACUUGAGUACUGUAGGGGAGACUGGAAUUCCUGGUGUAGCGGUGAAAUGCGCAGAUAUCAGGAGGAACACCGGUGGCGAAGGCGGGUCUCUGGGCAGUAACUGACGCUGAGGAGCGAAAGCAUGGGGAGCGAACAGGAUUAGAUACCCUGGUAGUCCAUGCCGUAAACGGUGGGCGCUAGGUGUGGGUUUCCUUCCACGGGAUCCGUGCCGUAGCUAACGCAUUAAGCGCCCCGCCUGGGGAGUACGGCCGCAAGGCUAAAACUCAAAGGAAUUGACGGGGGCCCGCACAAGCGGCGGAGCAUGUGGAUUAAUUCGAUGCAACGCGAAGAACCUUACCUGGGCUUGACAUAUACAGGAUCGCGCCAGAGAUGGUGUUUCCCUUGUGGCUUGUAUACAGGUGGUGCAUGGUUGUCGUCAGCUCGUGUCGUGAGAUGUUGGGUUAAGUCCCGCAACGAGCGCAACCCUUGUCUUAUGUUGCCAGCGCGUUGUGGUGGGGACUCGUAAGAAACUGCCGGGGUUAACUCGGAGGAAGGUGGGGAUGACGUCAAAUCAUCAUGCCCCUUAUGUCCAGGGCUUCACACAUGCUACAAUGGUCGGUACAGUGGGUUGCCAGUCCGUGAGGGCGAGCUAAUCCCGCAAAGCCGGUCUCAGUUCGGAUCGGGGUCUGCAACUCGACCCCGUGAAGUCGGAGUCGCUAGUAAUCGCAGAUCAGCAACGCUGCGGUGAAUACGUUCCCGGGCCU